CUCCACAGUGUGUCUCCCUCACCGCCCAGCUGGGAUCUCAGUGCUUCCUUUCCUGUCUUCCUCCAGGAUGGGGUCAACCACUGUCCUCGCCCUCCUCCUGGCUGUUCUCCAAGGUGUCUGUGCCGAGGUGCAGCUGGUGCAGUCUGGAGCAGAGGUGAAAAGGCCCGGGGAGUCUCUGAAGAUCUCCUGUAAGGCUUCUGGCUUUACUGGCAACUGGAUUGGCUGGGUGCGACAGAUGCCCGGGAAAGGCCUGGAGUGGAUGGGGAUGAUUGAUCUUCGUGAUUCUGAAACCAGAUACAGCCCGUCCUUCCAAGGCCAAGUCACCAUCUCAGCCGACAAGUCCACCAGCACCGCCUACCUGCAGUGGAGCAGCCUGAAGUCCUCGGACGCUGCCACGUAUUACUGUGCGAGAGACACAGUGUGA